rnacentral:misc_RNA from 1 species
UCCGAGUUGACCCCGGCAGUCUCCUACGAGUCCCCGGCAUUACCCGCUGGCAACAUAGGAUAAGGGUUGCGCUCGUUGCGGCACUUAAGCCAACACCUCACGACACGAGCUGACGACAGCCGUGCAGCACCUGUGCUGGUGUCCCGAAGGAAGGCCUCUGUUUCCAGAGGCUUUCACCAGCAUGUCAAACCUAGGUAAGGUUCUUCGCGUUGCUUCGAAUUAAACCACAUGCUCCACCGCUUGUGCGGGCCCCCGUCAAUUCCUUUGAGUUUCAGUCUUGCGACCGUACUCCCCAGGCGGCGAACUUAACGCGUUAGCUUCGACACUGAGAGCCUGAUUGCUCCCAACGUCCAGUUCGCAUCGUUUAGGGCGUGGACUAC